AGUGGCGGACGGGUGAGUAACGCGUAAGAAUCUAACUUCAGGACGGGGACAACAGUUGGAAACGACUGCUAAUACCCGAUGUGCCGCAAGGUGAAACCUAAUUGGCCUGGAGAAGAGCUUGCGUCUGAUUAGCUAGUUGGUGGGGUAAAGGCCUACCAAGGCGACGAUCAGUAGCUGGUCUGAGAGGAUGAGCAGCCACACUGGGACUGAGACGCGGCCCAGACUCCUACGGGAGGCAGCAGUGGGGAAUUUUCCGCAAUGGGCGAAAGCCUGACGGAGCAACGCCGCGUGAGGGAGGAAGGUCUUUGGAUUGUAAACCUCUUUUCUCAAGGAAGAAGUUCUGACGGUACUUGAGGAAUCAGCCUCGGCUAACUCCGUGCCAGCAGCCGCGGUAAUACGGGGGAGGCAAGCGUUAUCCGGGAUUAUUGGGCGUAAAGCGUCCGCAGGUGGUCAGCCAAGUCUGCCGUCAAAUCAGGUUGCUUAACGACCUAAAGGCGGUGGAAACUGGCAGACUAGAGAGCAGUAGGGGUAGCAGGAAUUCCCAGUGUAGCGGUGAAAUGCGUAGAGAUUGGGAAGAACAUCGGUGGCGAAAGCGUGCUACUGGGCUGUAUCUGACACUCAGGGACGAAAGCUAGGGGAGCGAAAGGGAUUAGAUACCCCUGUAGUCCUAGCCGUAAACGAUGGAUACUAGGCGUGGCUU
rnacentral:rRNA from 1 species